rnacentral:rRNA from 1 species
GCUGGCGGCGUGCUUAACACAUGCAAGUCGAACGAGAAAGCUCCUUCUGGGAGUGAGUACAGUGGCGAACGGGUGCGUAACACGUUGGUGACCUGCCUUGAGGAGGGGGACAACCGUGGGAAACCACGGCUAAUACCCCGUGAUGUCUAAACUGUUAGAGGGUUUAGACUAAAACUUCGGUGCCUCAAGAGGGGCCUGCGGGCUAUCAGCUUGUUGGUGGGGUAAUGGCCUACCAAGGCUAAGACGGCUAGGGGGCGUGAGAGCGCGACCCCCCACAAUGGAACUGAGGCACGGUCCAUACUCCUACGGGAGGCAGCAGUGAGGAAUAUUGCGCAAUGGGGGAAACCCUGACGCAGCAACGCCGCGUGAACGAUGAAGGCCUUCGGGUCGUAAAGUUCUUUUCUAAGGGAAGAUAGUGACGGUACCUUAGGAAUAAGUCCCGGCUAACUACGUGCCAGCAGCCGCGGUAAAACGUAGGGGGCGAGCGUUAUCCGGAUUUAUUGGGCGUAAAGCGCACGUAGGUGGCGCUGUAAGUUAGACGUGAAAGCUCUCGGCUCAACUUGAGAGAGGUCGUUUAAAACUGGAGUGCUUGAGGUUAGAAGAGGAGAGCAGAAUUCCCGGGUGUAAUGGUGGAAUUGCUUAGAAUUUCGGGAGGAAUACCAGUGGCGAAGGCGGCUCUCUAGUCUACACCUGACACUGAGGUGCGAAAGCGUGGGUAGCGAACGGGAUUAGAUACCCCGGUAGUCCACGCUGUAAACGAUGGAUACUAGGUGUAGGGGGUCAUUUAACCCCUCUGUGCCGAAGCAAACGCGUUAAGUAUCCCGCCUGGGGACUACGGCCGCAAGGUUAAAACUCAAAGGAAUUGACGGGGGCCCGCACAAGCAGCGGAGCGUGUGGUUUAAUUCGAUGAUACGCGAAGAACCUUACCUGGGCUGAACUACGUGGUAGUAGUGAAGCGAAAGCGGAUCGACCCUUCGGGGAGCCUCGAUAGGUGCUGCAUGGCUGUCGUCAGCUCGUGUCGUGAGAUGUUGGGUUAAGUCCCGCAACGAGCGCAACCCUCGUCGCUAGUUACAAGUGUCUAGCGAGACUGCCGGUAUCAAACCGGAGGAAGGUGGGGAUGACGUCAAGUCAGCAUGGUCUUUAUGUCCAGGGCUACACACACGCUACAAUGGUCGGUACAAUAGGUUGCCACACCGCGAGGUGGAGCUAAUCCUCAAAGCCGAUCUCAGUUCGGAUUGUAGUCUGCAACUCGACUACAUGAAGGCGGAGUUGCUAGUAACCGCGCGUCAGCAUAGUGCGGUGAAUGCGUUCCCGGGCCUUGUACACACCGCCCGUCACAUCAUGGGAGUCGGUAACACCUGAAGUCGGUGACCUAACCGAAAGGGGGGAGCUGCCUAAGGUGGGA